AUAGAAAGCCUGCAUUUUUCAACCACCUUUGGCAAUUUGCCUCCAGUAGUUUAACAACUCCUGUGUGGAUACCUUUACGGCUCGGCACUGGAUGACUAUGAAGAAAUGGUGAGCGAAGAUGAUUACGAAAUCUGAAUACUGCCGCAGGAGUUACAGAGUGUGGACAUCAACCUGCAGUCAUUCUGGUCAAACUGAUGUUCUGCAGAGGAGGAGUGCAACACUUCCUGUUGCGACGUACCCUGUAUCCUGUUUUCCACAGUCAGUGGUCAUGCGUGUCAUUCCCCUCUGCGAAGCUGUGUGGGCACAAUCUCGUGACCCUGCUGUGAAUUUGAGAGACGAGACAAAUGGAGAAUCCACAUGUCUGGAAAAAAAACCCCAAAAAAUUCUUGAUUGUCAGCAAAAAAUAUGUUAACACAAUUCCUCAGAUGUGUUCAAGACUAUUUAGAAAUAAACUGUUGAUUGGACAGAUUAUAGUAAAUAGGAGUUUUUUUUCACUGCCUAAUCACUAUGUUAAGUUCGUGGUCAAUAAAUAUAACCGUACAUUUAAUAACCAGUAGACUGUGGAC